rnacentral:rRNA from 2 species
GAUGAACGCUGGCGGCGUGCCUAAUACAUGCAAGUCGAACGAGUUCUGAUUAUUGAAAGGUGCUUGCAUCUUGAUUUAAUUUUGAACGAGUGGCGGACGGGUGAGUAACACGUGGGUAACCUGCCCUUAAGUGGGGGAUAACAUUUGGAAACAGAUGCUAAUACCGCAUAAAUCCAAGAACCGCAUGGUUCUUGGCUGAAAGAUGGCGUAAGCUAUCGCUUUUGGAUGGACCCGCGGCGUAUUAGCUAGUUGGUGAGGUAACGGCUCACCAAGGCAAUGAUACGUAGCCGAACUGAGAGGUUGAUCGGCCACAUUGGGACUGAGACACGGCCCAAACUCCUACGGGAGGCAGCAGUAGGGAAUCUUCCACAAUGGACGCAAGUCUGAUGGAGCAACGCCGCGUGAGUGAAGAAGGCUUUCGGGUCGUAAAACUCUGUUGUUGGAGAAGAAUGGUCGGCAGAGUAACUGUUGUCGGCGUGACGGUAUCCAACCAGAAAGCCACGGCUAACUACGUGCCAGCAGCCGCGGUAAUACGUAGGUGGCAAGCGUUAUCCGGAUUUAUUGGGCGUAAAGCGAGCGCAGGCGGUUUUUUAAGUCUGAUGUGAAAGCCCUCGGCUUAACCGAGGAAGUGCAUCGGAAACUGGGAAACUUGAGUGCAGAAGAGGACAGUGGAACUCCAUGUGUAGCGGUGAAAUGCGUAGAUAUAUGGAAGAACACCAGUGGCGAAGGCGGCUGUCUGGUCUGUAACUGACGCUGAGGCUCGAAAGCAUGGGUAGCGAACAGGAUUAGAUACCCUGGUAGUCCAUGCCGUAAACGAUGAAUGCUAGGUGUUGGAGGGUUUCCGCCCUUCAGUGCCGCAGCUAACGCAUUAAGCAUUCCGCCUGGGGAGUACGACCGCAAGGUUGAAACUCAAAGGAAUUGACGGGGGCCCGCACAAGCGGUGGAGCAUGUGGUUUAAUUCGAAGCAACGCGAAGAACCUUACCAGGUCUUGACAUCUUUUGAUCACCUGAGAGAUCAGGUUUCCCCUUCGGGGGCAAAAUGACAGGUGGUGCAUGGUUGUCGUCAGCUCGUGUCGUGAGAUGUUGGGUUAAGUCCCGCAACGAGCGCAACCCUUAUGACUAGUUGCCAGCAUUUAGUUGGGCACUCUAGUAAGACUGCCGGUGACAAACCGGAGGAAGGUGGGGAUGACGUCAAAUCAUCAUGCCCCUUAUGACCUGGGCUACACACGUGCUACAAUGGAUGGUACAACGAGUUGCGAGACCGCGAGGUCAAGCUAAUCUCUUAAAGCCAUUCUCAGUUCGGACUGUAGGCUGCAACUCGCCUACACGAAGUCGGAAUCGCUAGUAAUCGCGGAUCAGCACGCCGCGGUGAAUACGUUCCCGGGCCUUGUACACACCGCCCGUCACACCAUGAGAGUUUGUAACACCCGAAGCCGGUGGCGUAACCCUUUUAGGGAGCGAGCCGUCUAAGGUGGGACAAAUGAUUAGGGUGAAGUCGAAAAGGGGGUAACCA